AUUUCUAAAUAUUUUGUUCUUACUGGCAUUUCUAAACAUUGUCCCUACUGUUAUGAAUUAAGUGUUAAUUUAUACAUUUUAAAUUAUUUUGCCUUUGUAAUUAUUCUCUUGCCUGUGCUUGUAACAGACUUUUUUUCUUCAUAGGUGCUGUACCAGUCAGCUGGUGCUCUGAUUUCUGCUGCCUGCCCUGCCUCCCAGAAUAGUUUUGCUGUUCUGCACCAGGCUUCCUGCCGUGUCAGAAGAAUGAGGCCCGUGGAAGCUGCUAGAACAGAAAUGUAGCUGUAUGCAUAGAAACAGCCCAGUUUGGGGCAUUUACUGGCAACAGAGGAAAUCUCGCUGGAACAAAAUGACAUUGGCACGUGUGGAGCAUAGUCUGUAUCUUUCUGCGUGCACUCUCUCACUGCUGCGAUCACUUAAAAGACAAGGGCACACCGAGUCUCAGAAGCCUUUGUUAAUCAUCCACAGCUG
rnacentral:lncRNA from 1 species